CCUACGGGAGGCAGCAGUGGGGAAUAUUGCACAAUGGGGGAAACCCUGAUGCAGCGACGCCGCGUGAGUGAAGAAGUAUUUCGGUAUGUAAAGCUCUAUCAGCAGGGAAGAAAAUGACGGUACCUGACUAAGAAGCCCCGGCUAACUACGUGCCAGCAGCCGCGGUAAGACGUAGGGGGCGAGCGUUAUCCGGAUUUACUGGGUGUAAAGGGAGCGUAGGUGGCAUGGUAAGCCAGAAGUGAAAACCCAGGGCUCAACUCUGUGGAUUGCUUUUGGAACUAUCAAGCUAGAGUGCUGGAGGGGUAAGCGGAAUUCCGAGUGUAGCGGUGAAAUGCGUAGAUAUUAGGAGGAACACCGGUGGCGAAGGCGGCUUACUGGACAGAAACUGACACUGAGGCACGAAAGCGUGGGGAGCAAACAGGAUUAGAUACCCUAGUAGUC
rnacentral:rRNA from 1 species